rnacentral:rRNA from 1 species
UACGUAGGGUGCAAGCGUUGUCCGGAAUUAUUGGGCGUAAAGAGCUCGUAGGCGGUUUGUCGCGUCUGGUGUGAAAAUCCAGGGCUUAACCCUGGACCUGCAUCGGGUACGGGCAGACUAGAGUGCGGUAGGGGAGAUCGGAAUUCCUGGUGUAGCGGUGAAAUGCGCAGAUAUCAGGAGGAACACCGGUGGCGAAGGCGCUCUGCUGGACCAUAACUGACACUCAGGGACGAAAGCUAGGGGAGCGAAUGGG